GAUGAACGCUAGCGGCAGGCUUAAUACAUGCAAGUCGUGGGGCAGCGCAGGUAGCAAUACUGGGCGGCGACCGGCAAACGGGUGCGGAACACGUACACAACCUUCCUACAAGUGGGGAAUAGCCCAGAGAAAUUUGGAUUAAUACCCCGUAACAUAACGAUGUGGCAUCACAUUGUUAUUAUAGCUUCGGCGCUUGUUGAUGGGUGUGCGGCUGAUUAGAUAGUUGGCGGGGUAACGGCCCACCAAGUCUACGAUCAGUAGCUUAUGUGAGGGCAUGAUCAGCCACACGGGAACUGAAACACGGGCCCGAAUCCUACGGGAGGCAGCAGUAAGGAAUAUUGGUCAAUGGACGAAAGUCUGAACCAGCCAUGCCGCGUGAAGGAUUAAGGUCCUCUGGAUUGUAAACUUCUUUUAUCUGGGACGAAAAAAGGCGAUUCUUCGUCACUUGACGGUACCAGAUGAAUAAGCACCGGCUAACUCCGUGCCAGCAGCCGCUGUAA
rnacentral:rRNA from 1 species